AAAGAUUUAGUUUAUUGAAAACAUUAAUUUGUCAAAUUAAAAAAAUAAAAUUUAUAAUCUUUU
rnacentral:tRNA from 1 species